AUUGAACGCUGGCGGCAUGCCUUACACAUGCAAGUCGAACGGCAGCACGGGUGCUUGCACCUGGUGGCGAGUGGCGAACGGGUGAGUAAUACAUCGGGACAUGUCCUGUAGUGGGGGAUAGCCCGGCGAAAGCCGGAUUAAUACCGCAUACGAUCUACGGAUGAAAGCGGGGGCCCUUCGGGCCUCGCGCUAUGGGGUUGGCCGAUGGCUGAUUAGCUAGUUGGUGGGGUAAAGGCCUACCAAGGCGACGAUCAGUAGCUGGUCUGAGAGGACGACCAGCCACACUGGGACUGAGACACGGCCCAGACUCCUACGGGAGGCAGCAGUGGGGAAUUUUGGACAAUGGGCGAAAGCCUGAUCCAGCAAUGCCGCGUGUGUGAAGAAGGCCUUCGGGUUGUAAAGCACUUUUGUCCGGAAAGAAAUCCUUGGCCCUAAUACGGUCGGGGGAUGACGGUACCGGAAGAAUAAGCACCAGCUAACUACGUG
rnacentral:rRNA from 1 species